rnacentral:rRNA from 1 species
AUGGUCAAUGCACAGAUGGUGAGUGGGUACUUGGACAAUUCGUUCAAUGCACUCGUGGUUUCUGGUGGCGGUGAGAGUGGUGGACAGACACAGAAUGGUGUCACAGACACCACCUUGUCAGGUUGGAAGGACCUCCCCAUGGAGCUUCUGCUGAGGAUCAUAUCAGUCGCUGGAGAUGACAGGAUGGCCAUUGUAGCCUCCGGUGUUUGCACCGGGUGGCGUGAUGCACUAGGAUGGGGAGCCACUAGUCUCUCCUUCUCGUGGUGCCAGGACCACAUGAAUGAGUUGGUGAUAUCACUCGCCCACAAAUUUACAAAGCUUCAAGUCCUUUCUCUAAGGCAAAUCAAGCCUCAGCUUGAAGACAGUGCAGUGGAGGCUGUAGCAAAUUCUUGUCAUGAUUUGCGCGAGUUGGAUCUGAGCAGAAGCUUCAGGCUUAGCGAUCGGUCCUUGUAUGCUCUGGCACAUGGGUGCCCUCGCCUUACAAGGCUGAACAUCAGUGGAUGUUCCAAUUUCAGUGAUGCUGCUUUGAUCUACCUCACUAGUCAGUGCAAGAACUUGAAAUGCUUGAAUCUAUGCGGGUGUGUGCGGGCAGCAUCCGACAGAGCGUUGCAGGCUAUAGCCUGCAACUGUAGUCAGCUGCAAUCUUUGAACCUUGGUUGGUGCGAUACUGUCACUGACGGGGGAGUCACUAGCUUGGCAUCAGGAUGUCCUGAACUUAGGGCCGUCGACUUGUGUGGCUGCGUUCUUAUAACAGAUGAGAGUGUGGUUGCUCUUGCAAACGGCUGCCCUCACCUGCGUUCCCUGGGGCUGUACUACUGCCAGAACAUCACCGACCGUGCCAUGUACUCGCUGGCAGAGAACAGCCGCAUCAGGAGCAAGGGCAUGAGCUGGGACACGGCUAAGAACAGCCGCGGCCGCGACGACAAGGACGGCCUCGCCAGCCUGAACAUCAGCCAGUGCACCGCGCUGACGCCCCCGGCAGUGCAGGCGGUGUGCGACUCCUUCCCGGCGCUCCACACCUGCCCGGAGAGGCACUCCCUCAUCAUCAGCGGCUGCCUGAGCCUCACCACCGUGCACUGCGCGUGCGCCCACCACCGGCACCGCGCCGGGGCCGGGAGAGCCAUCCUGUCUAACCAUGCCUACUGA